AUGCUCUUUUUGUUGGCCGCCGGUCAGAUGGAAGAGCCUCCUGGGAAAACUCUCAGCUGUGAAGAGAAGGAAAAGUUGAAAGAAAAAUUAGCAUUCCUGAAAAGGGAAUACACCAAGACAUUGGCCCGCCUUCAACGUGCCCGAAGAGCUGAGAAGUUUAAAAAUUCUCUUAGGAGAACAGUGGAAGAACAAGAUUCCUCACUCCAGCAGGAAGUUUCAACACAGCUAACCCACACAGAACCUAAAAAUACAGUAUCUCCUCAUGACACGUUGCAAAUCAGUACCCAUGUUGAUGAAGAAACUGGAGAAAAGACACCCAGCUCACUUGACAUUGAGCCUCUGUUGUUUAGCUCUGGACGUGUCUCAGUGGAAGGAUCACGCAUAGAAGGAUCAGAUGAUAAUCAGAAACAUUUUCCUUUCAGGGUCAAUCGCCCUGAUGCUAAGAAAAGGCAGAGAAAGCUGCUGGGGAGAAGAAAGAAAGAGGAAAGAACAUAUAUUUCACAGGAGAGAGAACCUCUCUCUGAUACUGAUUCACUCAUACUCUCUGGAAAAAGACUAAAGGAACAGGAAAAAAUCAAUAGAGAAAAUCCCAAAACACCUGUAACUGAACUAAGAACUUACCCCCUUUCAAGUCCUAAGUGUGCCAUUCCAAAUUCUCCAGCACCAGUUACAGAAACUAAUGUAGGGAGUGUAUUAAUUCUACCAAGCACCAAACCGCAGAGAGAUGUUGAUGCCCUCCUUAGAGGAAAUGAUUUCCCCAGGGCGACUACUCUUCCUCUGCCUACACCAUCAGACAGCAGUAGCGGUCAGCUCCUCGAACACAAGCGCCCUCAAAGUAACUGUGAACUUACUACUCACAGCUUAAGAAACAUUAGCUCUGCUUCACCUGUAAACUUACAGGUACAGAAGGAAAAAAUGACUGUCUCUACAGAUAACCCAGAGGUAAACAAAGCUGGAAGUAUAAGUGGCCAGGCAGCUAGAAGUCCUAACUUAGGGGCAGAUAACUCAUGUUUUAUAAAUGAACUCACUUAUGAUAACUUAGUGGAAAAUGAAAACCAAAACUUAAAAGAACAAAAUCACACAGAGAUGUCUCUUAAAUCUCCCAAUGAUGCUCUCGGUGGUAGAAAUGAAAGUCUUCUAGAAAAAGAAGUUCUAAGUCAGUCUAAGAAUCUUAGCCUGGGAGUAAUUUCUCCUGUUUCUACAGAAGAUCAAAUACAUUCUUGCACAAUGCUUGAAGGCCUUCUCUUUCCUGCAGAAUAUUAUGUUAGGACAACACGGCGCAUGUCAAGCUGCCAGAGGAAAGUAGCACUGGAGGCUGUAAUUCAGAGUCAUUUAGGUGUCAGGAAAAAAGGCUUUAAAAAUAUGAGUACAAAAUCUGCUAAAAAAUUUAAUGUUUCCAACGAAAAAACUAAGCAAAGUGAAAUUAAGGUGUCUGACACACACGCAGACCAACCAAGUUCAGGAAGUCCUCAGAAACUUCUCUCAUUAACUGAAGUCAGCUUUUCCACUGACUCCACAGAAGAUGACUUUUCCAGGAAGACAGUUACCAAGCCAUCAGGUAAAAAAUGCAGAGGAAAAAGAAAGUCAGCGUGCACCUCUCCGUUAGAUCACCAUGAAGUACUUUUGCCAACUUCUGGCACAUCAGGUGUUAAGAAGUCCAAGGAAGAAAUUGCCUUGCACAGAGAUCAGAAUGAAAAGGCAAUUAUUCACAGUAAGAAGAGAGUUAAAGGGAAGGAAGGUCAUUGUCAAAAAGAGGACUCCCUUUCUUACAGUAAUUACGCUUAUUUCUCUUCGGAUGAUGAUGCUUUCAGCACUCCAUCUCAUAAGAACAAAAUGCUAAGUUUAAAGCAUCUGUCAUCUUUUCUCAAAAUCACAGACUUUCAGUUACCUGACGAAGACUUUGGGUUUCUUAAGCUUGAAAAACUGAAGUCCUGCUCAGAUAAGCUGAUGGAGCCUUUUGGAUCAAAAGUACAUGGAGAGGGGCAUCUUAAAGGGGAAAGUUACAUUGUUGUGGAGGAACCAAGCCCGAAACAAAGCAAUAUAGAAAAGGAGGGCAUGGAAGAGGAACUAACUACUCUACCAGGAAAGGCACAUUCUAGAAUGCCAAGCCAAAGAAGCCAGCCUCGGGGAAAGGACCUUUCUUCAUCCAUUUUACUUUUCACUCCUUUGAAUUCUGUUGCCUCUGAUGAUAAUGACAGACUGACUGCAGACCUGUGCUCACCUGCUUUCCCCAUAUUAGGCGCUACUCCAGCUUUUGGCUCCCAAGCCCACAAGGAAAAGGUGUCUGCAGAGGCGGGUGGACAAACAUGCUCGCCACUCCGUCUUUCUCACUUAAAAGCCACAGUCAGCCUGCCUAGCAGUCGUAAACAGUGGAACAGCUGGAGCAGCCCCCCAAGAUUAGAUAGCAGCCAGCAUGUUGCAGGAAGAGCAGGACAGCCUUCCUGCGACCCUGACUCUGGUCCCCAAGCAACAACUCUGCCCACCGAGUCUUUCACCUUCGAAGCAAGUCAGCUCCAGGGAUCACAGAGACAUUCUGCUGAGCAGAAUCCUUCAGGUUCUUGUUCUGUGGAUGUGAGUGCCACGUGGUGGGAAAUAGCUGGUUUCAAACAGCCAUGUAUCGUAACUGCUUGUGAAUACGUCGUUUCUCUUUGGAAACCUCUGGAUGCUUGGCAGUGGGAAAAAAUUUAUUCCUGGCACUUUACAGAGGUUCCAGUAUUACAGAUAGUUGCAGUGCCUGAUGUUUGCAAUCUUGUGUGUGUGGCUUUGGGAAAUUUGGAAAUCAGAGAAAUCAGGGCACUACUUUGUUCUCCCGAUGGUAAAAGUGAAAAGCAAGUGCUCCUGAGUUCUGGAAAUAUAAAAGCUGUGCUUGGCCUGGCAAAAAGGAGGCUUGUCAGUAGCAGUGGGACCCUUUGUGAUCAACAAGUCGAAAUUAUGACAUUUGCCGAAGAUGGAGGAAGCAAAGAAAAACAGCUUUUGAUGCCCCCUGAAGAGACCAUACUAACUUUUGCUGAGGUUCAAGGGAUGCAGGAAGCUCUGCUUGGUACCACUAUAAUGAACAACAUUGUUAUUUGGAACUUAAAAACUGGUCAGCUCCUGAAAAAGAUGCACAUCGAUGAUUCCUACCAAGCUUCAGUCUGUCACAAAGCUUACUCUGAAAUGGGGCUCCUGUUUGUUGUGUUGAGUCACCCUUGCGCCAAAGAGAACGAGUUAUUGGGAAGCCCUGUGUUUCAGCUGAUUGUGAUUAACCCGAAGACAACCCUGAGUAUGGGUGUGAUGCUCUACUGCCUUCCUCACGGGCAAGCUGGAAGGUUCCUGGAAGGUGACGUGAAAGACCAUUUCGCAGCAGCAGUAUUGACUUCUGGAACCAUUGCCGUUUGGGACUUACUCUUGGGUCACUGCACUGCCCUCCUUCCUCCUGUCUCUGGCCAGAAUUGGUCUUUUGUUAAAUGGUCAGGUACAGAUUCUCAUUUGUUGGCUGGACAAAAAGAUGGAAAUAUAUUUGUAUACCGCUACUAAAAAGUUCGGGUAACCUGGAAAACACAGUGUUCUGGGUAUUUUUGGCCUCUUAGUACUCUUUGGAGUUGCUCCUUUAAAGGAGACUAUUUGAAAGAGUUUUAAAACAUUUACUUACCUGUGUUCAUUCUGACAGACUGUGUUCUGAUGGUGGGGCACUACUGAUUUUGAAUGCUCAUUUGUACUUACUUUGGGAGAGAGGGUAUAUAAGUGGAUUUUUGUGAUUCCUCACAUUGGCACAUUUCCUUUUAAAGGUUAUGUACAUAAAGCUUGAAAUGU
rnacentral:lncRNA from 1 species